rnacentral:rRNA from 1 species
GUGAGGAUCUGCCCUUAGGACGGGGACAACAGUUGGAAACGACUGCUAAUACCCGAUGUGCCGGAAGGUGAAACAUUUAUGGCAUGAGGAUGAGCUCGCGUCUGAUUAGCUAGUUGGAGUGGUAACGGCACACCAAGGCGACCAUCAGUACCUGGUCUGAGAGGAUGAUCAGCCACACUGGGACUGAGACACGGCCCAGACUCCUACGGGAGGCAGCAGCGGGGAAUUUUCCGCAAUGGGCGCAAGCCUGACGGAACAAGACCGCGUGGGGGACGAACGUUUGUGGAUUGUAAACCCCUUUUGAUUGGGAAGAAGUUCUGACGGUACCAAUCGAAUCACCAUCCGCUAACUCCGUGCCAGCAGCCGCGGUAAUACCGAGGAUGCAAGCGUUAUCCGGAAUUAUUGGGCGUAAAGCGUCCGUAGGUGGCUAUUCAAGUCAGUUGUUAAAGCGUGGGGCUUAACUCCAUAAAGGCAAAUGAAACUGAUUGGCUACAGUGCGAUAGGGGCAAGGGGAAUUUCCAGUGUAACGCCGAAAUGCGUAGAUAUUGGAAAGAACACCGGUGGCGAAAGCGCCUUGCUGGGUCUGCACUGACACUGAGGGACGAAAGCUAGGGGAGCGAAAGGGAUUAGAUACCCCU